rnacentral:rRNA from 1 species
UAGCUAGUUGGUGAGGUAAUGGCUCACCAAGGCGACGAUCAGUAGCGGGUCUGAGAGGAUGAUCCGCCACACUGGAACUGAGACACGGUCCAGACUCCUACGGGAGGCAGCAGUGGGGAAUUUUGGACAAUGGGGGAAACCCUGAUCCAGCCAUUCCGCGUGAGUGAAGAAGGCCUUCGGGUUGUAAAGCUCUUUCAGCUGGAACGAAACGGUACGCUCUAACAUAGCGUGCUAAUGACGGUACCAGCAGAAGAAGCACCGGCUAACUACGUGCCAGCAGCCGCGGUAAUACGUAGGGUGCGAGCGUUAAUCGGAAUUACUGGGCGUAAAGCGUGCGCAGGCGGAUUGUUAAGCAAGAUGUGAAAUCCCCGGGCUUAACCUGGGAAUGGCAUUUUGAACUGGCAGUCUAGAGUGUGUCAGAGGGGGGUGGAAUUCCACGUGUAGCAGUGAAAUGCGUAGAUAUGUGGAGGAACACCAAUGGCGAAGGCAGCCCCCUGGGAUAACACUGACGCUCAUGUACGAAAGCGUGGGUAGCAAACAGGAUUAGAUACCCUGGUAGUCCACGCCCUAAACGAUGUCAACUGGUUGUUGGGGGAGUGAAAUCCCUUAGUAACGAAGCUAACGCGUGAAGUUGACCGCCUGGGGAGUACGGUCGCAAGAUUAAAACUCAAAGGAAUUGACGGGGACCCGCACAAGCGGUGGAUGAUGUGGAUUAAUUCGAUGCAACGCGAAAAACCUUACCUACCCUUGACAUGUCCAGAAUCCUGCAGAGAUGCGGGAGUGCCCGAAAGGGAAUUGGAACACAGGUGCUGCAUGGCCGUCGUCAGCUCGUGUCGUGAGAUGUUGGGUUAAGUCCCGCAACGAGCGCAACCCUUAUCAUUAGUUGCUACGCAAGGGCACUCUAAUGAGACUGCCGGUGACAAACCGGAGGAAGGUGGGGAUGACGUCAAGUCCUCAUGGCCCUUAUGGGUAGGGCUUCACACGUCAUACAAUGGUCGCUACAGAGGGUUGCCAAGCCGCGAGGUGGAGCCAAUCCCAGAAAGCCGAUCGUAGUCCGGAUUGUUCUCUGCAACUCGAGAGCAUGAAGUCGGAAUCGCUAGUAAUCGCGGAUCAGAAUGUCGCGGUGAAUACGUUCCCGGGUCUUGUACACACCGCCCGUCACACCAUGGGAGUGGAAUCUGCCAGAAGUAGGUAGCCUAACCGCAAGGAGGGCGCUUACCACGGUGGGUUUCAUGACUGGGGUGAAGUCGUAACAAGGUAGCCGUAGGGGAACCUGCGGCUG